GAUGAACGCUGGCGGCGUGCCUAAUACAUGCAAGUCGAGCGAACAGACGAGGAGCUUGCUCCUCUGACGUUAGCGGCGGACGGGUGAGUAACACGUGGAUAACCUACCUAUAAGACUGGGAUAACUUCGGGAAACCGGAGCUAAUACCGGAUAACAUGUUGAACCGCAUGGUUCAACAGUGAAAGACGGUCUUGCUGUCACUUAUAGAUGGAUCCGCGCCGCAUUAGCUAGUUGGUAAGGUAACGGCUUACCAAGGCAACGAUGCGUAGCCGACCUGAGAGGGUGAUCGGCCACACUGGAACUGAGACACGGUCCAGACUCCUACGGGAGGCAGCAGUAGGGAAUCUUCCGCAAUGGGCGAAAGCCUGACGGAGCAACGCCGCGUGAGUGAAGAAGGUCUUCGGAUCGUAAAACUCUGUUAUUAGGAAGAACAAAUGUGUAAGUAACUAUGCACGUCUUGACGGUACCUAAUCAGAAAGCCACGGCUAACUACGUG
rnacentral:rRNA from 1 species